rnacentral:rRNA from 1 species
CCUACGGGUGGCAGCAGUGGGGGAUAUUGCACAAUGGGGGAAACUCUGAUGCAGCGACGCCGCGUGCGUGAAGAAGUAUUUCGGUAUUUAAAGCUCUAUCAGCAGGGAAGAAAAUGACAGUACCUGACCAAGAAGCCCCGGCUAACUACGUUCCAGCAGCGGCGGUAAUACGUAGGAGGCAAGCGUUAUCCGGAUUUACUGGGUGUAAAGGGAGCGUAGACGGUUAUGUAAGUCUGGAGUGAAAGCCCGGGGCGCAACCCCGGGACUGCCUUGGAUACUGUGUAACUGGAGUACAGGAGCGGCAGGCGGAAUGCCUGGUGUAGCGGUGAAAUGCGUAGAUAUCAGAAGGAACACCGGCGGCGAAGGCGGCCUGCUGGGCUAAAACUGACGUUGAGGCUCGAAAGCGUGGGGAGCAAACAGGAUUAGAUACCCCUGUAGUC